AUGGAUGUGGUUUCCCUUGUCACGGUAGGUUGGUUUUGCGCUUCACAGGCGGACGUGUCCAUGGACGAGGUGUACGCGCAGCUCUCGCUGCUCCCCGAGAACGAGCCUCGGCCUGAUCUGCUGCAGGAGGUGGUCCAGCGGAUGCGCGAGUCCACUGAGGAUGGGAGCGGCGGCGAGGACGGCGAGACUGUCAAGCAGCGCUUCGCGAGGAUGUCGCACAUGUUCUGCAAGACGCUCACCGCCUCCAACACCAGCACCCAUGGCGGCUUCUUCGUGCCAUGCCGUGCCGCCGAAGACUGCUUCCCGCCUCUGGUGCUCUCAUUGGCCUGCCAGGCCCCUCUCUCCAUUGAUUCUGACAUUGGUUCCUGCUAUGAUUGCAGCCAGCAGCGGCCGUCUCAGGAGCUGGUCGCCAAGGAUUUUGGUUCUGUGUAG
rnacentral:rRNA from 1 species